rnacentral:rRNA from 1 species
GCAACGGUUAUCCGGAAUUAUUGGGCGUAAAGAGCUCGUAGGCGGUUUGUCGCGUCUGCUGUGAAAUCCGGAGGCUCAACCUCCGGCCUGCAGUGGGUACGGGCAGACUAGAGUGCGGUAGAGGAGAUUGGAAUUCCUGGUGUAGCGGUGGAAUGCGCAGAUAUCAGGAGGAACACCGAUGGCGAAGGCAGAUCUCUGGGCCCGUACUGACGCUAGCGAGCGAAAGGGUGGGGAGCAAACAGGCUUAGAUACCCUGGUAGUCCACCCCGUAAACGUUGAGAACUAGUUGUGGGGUCCAUUCCUCGGAUUCCGUGACGCAGCUAACGCAUUAAGUUCCCCGCCUGGGGAGUACGGCCGCAAGGCUAAAACUCAAAGGAAUUGACGGGGACCCGCACAAGCGGCGGAGCAUGCGGAUUAA